AUUGAACGCUGGCGGCCGGCCUAACACAUGCAAGUCGAACGAGUGGCGGACGGGUGAGUAAUGUCUGGGAAACUGCAUGAUGGAGGGGGAUAAAUACUGGAAACGGUAGCUAAUACCGCAUACCAUCGGAUGUACCCAGCUGGGAUUAGCUAGUAGGUGGGGUAACGGCUCACCUAGGCGACGCACCCUAGCUGGUCUGAGAGGAUGAACGUCCACACUGUGACUGAGACACGGUCCAGACUCCUACGGGAGGCAGCAUUGGGGAAUAUUGCACAAUGGGCGCAAGCCUGAUGCAGCCAUGCCGCGUGUAUGAAGAAGGCCUUCGGGUUUUAAAGUACUUUCAGCUGGGAGGCGUUACCCGCAGAAGAAGCACCGGCUAACUCCGUGCCAGCAGCCGCGGUAAUUC
rnacentral:rRNA from 1 species